CACCAAACAAUCAAUUGCGAACGUGCAAGUCGGUAUUCGAUCAUUGCAGCGUCUCGUACGUAGAUCCUCCCUUUCCGAAGCAACGGCAGUACGGCUUUAGCAGCCGAAGCGACGUAGUCAUCAGGAGCGACAUCAAUGGUAGCGCGUACAUCCUUUGAGAAGAGAUAGAAGAACCUAGCGAGGAGAAAGAGACAUAUAUUGGGGCUUUCAAUCAAUCAUCACGGUGCCUCGUUCAUCGCAGUACCCAUUCAACUUCCAACCACGAAGGGCAGGAGUUACAUGGCAUCGCACGAUUCGUUUACAGGUACUCCGAGAUGCUGUCGCCGCAGUUAUGACCCCCUGGACUUCCCCUGUUCAUCAGGGGGAG